rnacentral:rRNA from 1 species
GACGAACGCUGGCGGCGUGCCUAAUACAUGCAAGUAGAACGCUGAAGAGAGGAGCUUGCUCUUCUUGGAUGAGUUGCGAACGGGUGAGUAACGCGUAGGUAACCUGCCUUGUAGCGGGGGAUAACUAUUGGAAACGAUAGCUAAUACCGCAUAACAAUGGAUGACACAUGUCAUUUAUUUGAAAGGGGCAAUUGCUCCACUACAAGAUGGACCUGCGUUGUAUUAGCUAGUAGGUGAGGUAACGGCUCACCUAGGCGACGAUACAUAGCCGACCUGAGAGGGUGAUCGGCCACGCUGGGACUGAGACACGGCCCAGACUCCUACGGGAGGCAGCAGUAGGGAAUCUUCGGCAAUGGGGGCAACCCUGACCGAGCAACGCCGCGUGAGUGAAGAAGGUUUUCGGAUCGUAAAGCUCUGUUGUAAGUCAAGAACGAGUGUGAGAGUGGAAAGUUCACACUGUGACGGUAGCUGACCAGAAAGGGACGGCUAACUACGUG